rnacentral:rRNA from 1 species
AUGAACGCUGGCGGCGUGCCUAAUACAUGCAAGUCGAGCGAACGGACGAGAAGCUUGCUUCUCUGAUGUUAGCGGCGGACGGGUGAGUAACACGUGGAUAACCUACCUAUAAGACUGGGAUAACUUCGGGAAACCGGAGCUAAUACCGGAUAAUAUUUUGAACCGCAUGGUUCAAAAGUGAAAGACGGUCUUGCUGUCACUUAUAGAUGGAUCCGCGCUGCAUUAGCUAGUUGGUAAGGUAACGGCUUACCAAGGCAACGAUGCAUAGCCGACCUGAGAGGGUGAUCGACCACACGGGACCGAGAACCAGGUCCAACCCCCAAGGGGAGGCACCAGUGGGAAUUCUUCCGGAAUGGGCAAAAGCCUAACGGGGAAAGCCGGCGUGAGGGAUAAGGGCUUUCGGUGCGUAAAAUUUUUUUAUUAGGGAAUAAAAAAGGUGUAGUAACCUGGCCCAUUUUUGAGGGUCCCUAACAAAAAAGCCAGGGUAAACCACGG